rnacentral:rRNA from 1 species
CCUACGGGCGGCAGCAGUGAGGAAUAUUGGUCAAUGGACGAGAGUCUGAACCAGCCAAGUAGCGUGAAGGAUGACUGCCCUAUGGGUUGUAAACUUCUUUUAUAUGGGAAUAAAACGUUCCACGUGUGGGAUUUUGUAUGUACCAUAUGAAUAAGGAUCGGCUAACUCCGUGCCAGCAGCCGCGGUAAUACGGAGGAUCCGAGCGUUAUCCGGAUUUAUUGGGUUUAAAGGGAGCGUAGGUGGAUUGUUAAGUCAGUUGUGAAAGUUUGCGGCUCAACCGUAAAAUUGCAGUUGAUACUGGCAGUCUUGAGUACAGUAGAGGUGGGCGGAAUUCGUGGUGUAGCGGUGAAAUGCUUAGAUAUCACGAAGAACUCCGAUUGCGAAGGCAGUUCACUAGACUGCAACUGACACUGAGGCUCGAAAGUGUGGGUAUCAAACAGGAUUAGAUACCCUAGUAGUC